rnacentral:rRNA from 1 species
AGUGAACGCUGGCGGUAGGCCUAACACAUGCAAGUCGAACGGCAGCACAGUAAGAGCUUGCUCUUACGGGUGGCGAGUGGCGGACGGGUUAGGAAUACAUCGGAAUCUACUUUUUCGUGGGGGAUAACGUAGGGAAACUUACGCUAAUACCGCAUACUACCUACGGGUGAAAGCAGGGGAUCUUCGGACCUUGCGCGAUUGAAUGAGCCGAUGUCGGAUUAGCUAGUUGGCGGGGUAAAGGCCCACCAAGGCGACGAUCCGUAGCUGGUCUGAGAGGAUGAUCAGCCAAACUGGAACUGAGACAAGGUCCAGAAUACUACGGGAGGCAGCAGUGGGGAAUAUUGGACAAUGGGCGAAAGCCUGAUCCAGCAAUACCGCGUGGGUGAAGAAGGCCUUCGGGUUGUAAAGCCCUUUUGUUGGGAAAGAAAAGCAGCAGGUUAAUACCCCGCUGUUCUGACGGUACCCAAAGAAUAAGCACCGGCUAACUUCGUG